CAAGUCUCCAUGGCGAUGGGAUCCUGGGAAUUGUAGUUUUUUCUCACUGAUUCUCACCCUUCCGUUUGGGCCCAGGGCGAGCGACAGAGGAGGGAGAGGAGAAGCCCUUCGCCGCCUUCUUCUUCUGCUUCAUCCUCUUCAACUACUGCAACGAGGCUUCAAACUACGACUAGGCCGCUUCCCGUUGCUUGGCAACCCAGCCCGCCGCCCGCAAUGCCUCCUGGGAAACCGGCGGGAGGAAAGCCCGGCUACCUCGCAGCGCCAUCCGCGGCCAUUCCCUUCGCUGAUUAAAGUACGCAUGCGCAAAGUUGGAAACCUGAAAGAAGGACUUCAUUUCCCGUCAUGCUCCGGGACGGGUUGCGAGGGAGGAGCGGUCGGGGCGGGCGCGCAAGGGACGCCGGGAGGUGUAGUCCGUCGGUUGCUUCCCGCCCCCUUCUCCAGCCGCCGGGUCGCAGUCAUGUCCGCUCUGGAGAAGCAGCUGCAGCUAGGCCGCCUCCCGCCUCGGGCCCCGGGCCCCGCCGGAGGAAGCGCCCAGGGACCCCCCAAGAUGCGCAUGGGACCCGGAAGGAAACGUGAUUAUUCCCCAGUUCCAUGGAGCCAGUACUUUGAGUCUAUGGAGGACGUGGUUGUUGAGAGUGACUCCGGCAAGGAUACUUUUCGAAUUUACAAGAGUGGCUCCGAAGGCCCGGUAUUGCUCCUAUUGCACGGAGGAGGACAUUCUGCACUCUCCUGGGCUGUUUUCACUGUAAGUAAGCUUUUCUGUUUACAUUUUUAUUGGUUUUCUUUACAAUACUAGGGUAUAAAGCAGGCAUAGGCAAACCUUGG
rnacentral:lncRNA from 11 species